rnacentral:rRNA from 1 species
UACGUAGGGGGCUAGCGUUGUCCGGAAUCAUUGGGCGUAAAGAGCGUGUAGGCGGCCCGGUAAGUCCGCUGUGAAAGUCGGGGGCUCAACCCUCGAAAGCCGGUGGAUACUGUCGGGCUAGAGUGCGGAAGAGGCGAGUGGAAUUCCUGGUGUAGCGGUGAAAUGCGCAGAUAUCGGGAGGAACACCAAUGGCGAAGGCAGCUCUCUGGGUCCCUACCGACGCUGGGGUGCGAAAGCAUGGGGAGCGAACAUGG